AUCGAACGCUGGCGGCAUGCCUAACACAUGCAAGUCGAACGCCCCGCAAGGGGAGUGGCAGAUGGGUGAGUAACGCGUGGGAAUCCACCUUUUGCUACGGGAUAGCCUCGGGAAACUGGAAUUAAUACCGUAUGUGCCCUCCGGGGGAAAGAUUUAUCGGCAAAGGAGGAGCCCGCGUUGGAUUAGCUAGUGGGUGGGGUAAAGGCCUACCAAGGCGACGAUCCAUAGCUGGUCUGAGAGGAUGAUCAGCCACAUUGGGACUGAGACACGGCCCAAACUCCUACGGGAGGCAGCAGUGGGGAAUAUUGGACAAUGGGCGCAAGCCUGAUCCAGCCAUGCCGCGUGAGUGAUGAAGUUCUUAGGAUUGUAAAGCUCUUUCACCGGGGACGAUAAUGGCGGUACCCGGAGAAGAAGCCCCGGCUAACUUCGUGCCAGCAGCCGCCGUAA
rnacentral:rRNA from 1 species